GACGAACGCUGGCGGCGUGCUUAACACAUGCAAGCCGAACGAUGAAGCCUAGCUUGCUAGGUGGAUUAGUGGCGAACGGGUGAGUAAUACGUGAGUAACCUACCUUUAACUCUGGGAUAAGCCCGGGAAACUGGGUCUAAUACCGGAUACGACCAAUCUCCGCAUGGGGUGUUGGUGGAAAGCGUUAUGUAGUGGUUAUAGAUGGGCUCACGGCCUAUCAGCUUGUUGGUGAGGUAACGGCUCACCAAGGCGACGACGGGUAGCCGGCCUGAGAGGGUGACCGGCCACACUGGGACUGAGACACGGCCCAGACUCCUACGGGAGGCAGCAGUGGGGAAUAUUGCACAAUGGGCGCAAGCCUGAUGCAGCGACGCCGCGUGAGGGAUGACGGCCUUCGGGUUGUAAACCUCUGUUAGCAGGGAAGAAGAGAGAUUGACGGUACCUGCAGAGAAAGCGCCGGCUAACUACGUG
rnacentral:rRNA from 1 species